ACAGAAAGUAAAAGAGAACAGUGUCUCUGCUGGGCUGUGUCUGAUUUCCGCGCUCGGCUGCAUCAUGGGGGCAUAUAAGUAUGGGGGAGUCUCGCUGCUGUCUCCCCCACACAAGAAUCGACAACCUUUGUUACGGAGAAUCGAUCUGCACAUUUGAACAAGGGCCUCAAAUUACAAUUAAAAAAACAACAAUUAUUACACCCUUUAACUUAUUUCACAAUAUUGUGGUCCAAUGGGAAAAUAUUGAUAGAAAUCCAACUGAUGAACAAUAAUAUCAGCUAGCCGUUUUCAUGAACCGACUUGACAAAGGAGGUCCUGAAGGAAAGAAUCGGAGCCGCACUGUGAGCCAAGCCCGGAAAUCUAGGACCGGGGAAUUCUGCUCCUCUCCGACGAAAAGCAGAAUGAACUUUUGGGUGGUGAAAGCCAGCGGGCUGAUGGCUGCUCUCGUGGGGGCAGUGUGGAACGAACUCAUGUUCUACAUCCAGAUUUACUCCCAAUUUCAGCGAACGUUCCUGUCCCUCCCCUGGGUUCUGCAAGAUCGAGUCAAGAGGGUUUUCAGAUCAUGUGUGAGCCGGCUCUGUCAGGGGUCGUGGCUCCCACUGCUA